GCAUCCGUGUCGGAUACUUCAAAAAUACAUUAGUUUUGGAGGAUCCGACACGCAACCAAAGACAUUUUUGAAAAAUCCGAGCUACUUAGGUGCGGAGUACUUUGUAGAUGCUGACUGGGCUGGGGAUCCUAUUAACUACAAGGUGUUGAAUCUUGAUCUAGCGCAGAAUCCGAGUAUACAGCUUUGUCACAGUCUAACUGUGAGAUUAUGUGGAUACAUCAUCUUUUAACUGAAAUUGGGUUUAAGCAUCAUACACCAGCAAAACUCCGGUGUGAAAAUCAAGUUGCUCUUCAUAUUGCCUCAAAUCCGGUGUAUCAUGAAAGAACUAAACGUAUUGAGUUUGAUUUUCAUUUUAUUUGUGAGAAGAUUCAAAAAAUCUUUAUUUCCACUGGCUAUGUGAAGACAAGAGAGCAACUAGCCAAUUUGUUCACAAAAGUGUUGAAUGGAACUCGGGAUGAUUAUUUUGUAACAAGUUGGGCAUGAUGGAUAUUUAGUGAAGACAAGAGAGCAACUAGCCAAUUUGUUCACAAAAGAGUUGAAUGGAACUCGGGAUGAUUAUCUUUGUAACAAGUUGGGCAUGAUGGAUAUUUAGUUUCCAUAGUUAGCUUAUUCCCUCAUGUAUUUAUACCAUUGUAAUCGUUGAAUAACAGACAAG
rnacentral:lncRNA from 1 species